rnacentral:rRNA from 1 species
GACGAACGCUGGCGGCGUGCUUAACACAUGCAAGUCGAACGGAAAGGCCCUGCUUUUGUGGGGUGCUCGAGUGGCGAACGGGUGAGUAACACGUGAGUAACCUGCCCUUGACUUUGGGAUAACUUCAGGAAACUGGGGCUAAUACCGGAUAGGAGCUCCUGCUGCAUGGUGGGGGUUGGAAAGUUUCGGCGGUUGGGGAUGGACUCGCGGCUUAUCAGCUUGUUGGUGGGGUAGUGGCUUACCGAGGCUUUGACGGGUAGCCGGCCUGAGAGGGUGACCGGCCACAUUGGGACUGAGAUACGGCCCAGACUCCUACGGGAGGCAGCAGUGGGGAAUAUUGCACAAUGGGCGGAAGCCUGAUGCAGCAACGCCGCGUGCGGGAUGACGGCCUUCGGGUUGUAAACCGCUUUCGCCUGUGACGAAGCGUGAGUGACGGUAAUGGGUAAAGAAGCAUCGGCUAACUACGUG